GAGAACAAGCUGCAUGCAUAUCUCACCAAACUUAUCCUAGCAGAGAAGGAGAGCACACCUUCUACAGAUGCCAUCAAGGCAAAAUGGGAGGAAGAACUAGGGACUGACAUUUCUGUGGCAGACUGGGAAGAGAGCUUGGAGUAUAUCCACACAUGCUCCAUUAAUUCCAGACAUCGUCUCAUACAAUUCAAGGUAUUACACAGAUUACACUUUUCCAAAACUAAACUGCAUAGGAUAUUUCCACAUCCCUUACAUGUGAUAAAUGUCAGGCUGCCUCUACUCCACUGCUCCACUGCUUUGCCUUAUGGUCUAGCUUCCAUGGUUAUUGGUGUGGAAUUUUUGGGAUCCUCUCUGAAGUUUUGGAGACUUCAAUAGAUAACCCGCUUCUGAUAAUCCUGGGAGUAUCUGAGUCCCUAAACGGAUUAACCAACCCCCAAAAACAACUAAUCUCGUACGGGAUAGGGAAAGAUUGAAUAUGUUCGUAAAUGAUCACCAGUCAGAUGGUCGCGGCUAGGGAUGCCAUCUGGGCCGGCAGCCUUGCGAGGGUUAACAAGUUUAAAUCUUUUACUCACAUUGGCCACGGAGAAGGAGAACCCACAGGCUUUGGUAGUGGGCCGUGUCAGUGGCACUGUAUUGUCCUCAAAGCGAGCAAAGAAGUUUUUUAAUUUGUCUGGGAGCAAGACGUUGGUGUUCGCGACUGGGCUCGUUUUCUUUUUGUAAUAUGUGAUUGACUGUAAGACCCUGCCAAAUGCGUUUCGUGUUUGAGCUGUUGAAUGGCAACUCUACUUUGUCUCUAUACUGACACUUUGCUUGUUUGAGGGAAUAGCUGCAUUGUUUGUAUUUGUUAAUGUUUCCAGUCGCCUUGCCAUGAUUAAAAGAGGUGCUUCUCUUUCAGUUUUGCGCGAAUGUGCCAUCAAUCCACGGUUUCUGUUUAGGAAAGGUUUUAAUAGUCACAGUUGGGUACGAUAUCUCUGAUGCACUUGCUAAUAAACUCGCUCACCGAGUCAACGUUAUUGUCUGAGGCUAUCUGGAACAUAUCCCAGUACACGUGAUUGCUUCAAUCUUGAAGUGUCGAAUCCGAUUAGUCAGAUCAGCAUUGGAUAGACCUGAGCAGGGGCGUUUCCUGUUUUAGUUUGUCUAUAGGCUGGGAAUCUUUAAAAAAAUGGAGUCGUGGUCAGAUUUGCCAAAGGCAGGGCUUUGCAUGCAUCGCAGAAGUUAAUGUGGCAAUGAUCCAGAAUGCUACGACCUCGUGUCACUCAUUCGAUAUGCUGAUAGAAUAUAGGGAGUCUUGUUCUCACGUUAGCUUUGUUAAAAUCCCCAGUUACAAUACAUGCAGCCUCGAUGUAUGGUUUCUAGUUUACAUAGAGACCAGUGAAGUUCUUUCAGGUUGGAGGGAUAUAUGCAACUGACUAUUUUCGAAGAGAAUUCUCUUGGAAGAUAAUGCGGUCAGCAUUUGAUUGUAAGGAAUUCUAGGUCAGGUGAACAAAAUUACUUAAGUUCCUAUAUGUUGUAGUGAUUACACCAUGAGUCGUUAAUCAUAAGGCAUACACCUCCGCCCUUCACUAUAUCACAGUAAUAAGGUGUAGUUAAAUAAGUUCUAGUUAAUCAAAUCACUUUCUCUACUUCCCGUCCCAGGUCAUUACCUGGACCAGAAGAGGCUAAAACAGGGCCUGUACCGCCACCCAUGGGAUGACAUCUCCUAUGUGCUUCCUGAACACAUGUCAAUGUAACUGAUGACAGCGAGUCGGCACCUCUGGAUGUCAACACUCGGAUAUGACGGGAAGCAUUUUCACCUUAUCACUUCAACAACCUCUGCCUUUGGGCAGGGUAAAUCCAGAGGUGGGGGGGAUAUGGGGGAAGAGGGGAGCGUUAGUUUUAUUAGGUCACUAAAGAAAAAGGGAAUAAUUUACGUUAUUUAAGUUAUGAGUUCAAUCGUUAACAAAAAAAAGGAGCCGAACCAAUGCAAGCUGCAGCUGUGGUCACACUAGGUGACUGGGAAAACUAGGUCACCGGUUCACAAAUGGGAUAGUGGCUUUUUGACCAUGCCACCUGGUUGUUUGGUCCAUCGCCUACUCGCUUAUAUUUUAUUUUCAUAUCUCUUACUAAACUCUCAAACGAUUAACAGUUGGUUGAGCUGUAUAAUAUAGGGCUAGCCCUGCUUUAGGCCUCUAGGGUGUGUGCUGUUGAAAGUUAGCAUGCUUUCUGGGUGACUUGGUAAUGCACAUAACAUGAACACUGGCUUGCCUAUGGAGAAGUAGUCUUGGUCGGUAAACCUGCAUCCCUCAAUGGAGUGUAAGCCUUGAACGAUCCACCGUCAUGUACAUUACAAAACCAAAGUAUUGUGUGAGGUUUUAUUUACACAUUUAAUCUAGUUUCCGACCUUAAUCCCCUUCCAAAGUUGUGUAGCCUAUUAUGGUGUGUACUCUGUGGCUGUUCAAGAUAAGGGGGCACGGUUUAACUAGCUGAAUGUUAGUGUUGAUUUGCCACUGCCUUUUUUUUUUUUUUUAGGAUCCCAAUUAUCUGUUGCAAAAGCAACAGCUACUCUUCCUGAUGUCCUUUCUCAUCCCCUCUGUCAUUGGACGAAACGAUCAUGUUAACUUUAUUUUCAUCCAUUUAGAUUUCAAGAAAUUACAAAUGUGUUAUUUUAAAAUGUUUCAAAAUAAAGGAAAAGGCAAUAAACAGUCCUACUUUUGAAGGGGUUAAUUGCUUUAAAAUGUGAGUCUUAAAUGCAUCUUUUGCGAGGGACCAUGAAGGCAGUGUAUUUUAUCUGGGAAAAUAGUGUCUGAUUUGCACGUUAUGUCUAGAUUAUUGCUACCAGUAGCCAUUUUUCUUUGUCCUCAAUGUUCUGUGACAGGCAUGUUUGUACUUCGUUUUAUUUAAAUGUGAAUUAAAAAUGCUUCUUAGUUUAUUAAAACCAAGCAUGUCUAACUUUUCA